rnacentral:rRNA from 1 species
AACGAACGCUGGCGGCAGGCUUAACACAUGCAAGUCGAGCGCCCCGCAAGGGGAGCGGCAGACGGGUGAGUAACGCGUGGGAACGUACCCUUAUCUUCGGGAUAGCCCCGGGAAACUGGAAUUAAUACCGAAUGUGCCCUUUGGGGGUAAGGCAUAUCGGGUAAGGAUCGGCCCGCGUUGGAUUAGCUCGUUGGUGGGGUAAAGGCCUACCAAGGCGACGAUCCAUAGCUGGUCUGAGAGGAUGAUCAGACACAUUGGGGCUGAGACACGGCGCAAACUCCUACGGGAGGGAGCAGUGGGGGAUAUUGGACAAUGGGCGCAAGCCUGAUCCAGCCAGGCCGCGUGAGUGAUGAAGGCCGUAGGGUUGUAAAGCUCUUUCACCGGAGAAGAUAAUGACGGUAUCCGGAGAAGAAGCCCCGGCUAACUUCGUG